rnacentral:rRNA from 1 species
CCACGGGCGCACGGCGGAUGCCUUGGCACAGGGAGCCGAUGAAGGACGCGGCAAGCUGCGAUAAUCCCCGGCGAGGAGCACACAUCCUUCGACCCGGGGGUCUCCGAAUGGGCGAACCCAUCCACAGCAGUGUGGAUAUCCCCGCCCCGAACACAUAGGGGCGGGGAGGACAACCCGGGGAACUGAAACAUCUAAGUACCCGGAGGAGAGGAAAUCAAUCUCGAGACUCCCCGAGUAGCGGCGAGCGAAAGGGGACCGAUGGCCAAACCGUCGAGCGGGCAUACCCGGCAGGGGUUCCGCCGGCGGGGUUGCAGGGCCGCGCAUCCGGGGGCUGCCGCCCCCGGGCGCAGGUCCGGCUGGGGAGCGGAACGGCAUGGGAGGGCCGGCCGCAGCGGGUGACAGCCCCGUACGCGAACCCAGACCGGACGGCGCGACGCGGUCCCUGAGUAGGGCCGGGCACGUGAAACCCGGUCCGAACCUGGGUGGACCACCAUCCAAGCCUGAGUACUACCCUGUGACCGAUAGCGCACCAGUACCGUGAGGGAAAGGUGAAAAGCACCCCGGGAGGGGAGUGAAACAGUACCUGAAACCGUGCGCCCACGAGCAGUCGGAGCACCUAUACGGUGUGACGGCGUGCCUUUUGUAGAAUGAGCCAGCGAGUCGCUGGCGCGGGGCGAGGUUAACCGAAAGGGAGCCGGAGCGAAAGCGAGCCUUAACAGGGCGACUUGAGUCCCGCGCCGCGGACGCGAAGCCGGGUGAGCUAUCCGUGGGCAGGCUGAAGCGGGGGUAAGACCCCGUGGAGGGCCGAACGCACGUCGGUUGAAAACGGCGGCGAUGACCUGCGGAUAGGGGUGAAAGGCCAAUCAAACCCGGAGAUAUCUCGUUCUCCCCGAAAUAGCUUUAGGGCUAGCGUCGCGCGUUCACCGCCGGAGGUAGAGCACCGGAUGGACGAGGGGGCUUCGCCGCCUACCGAAUCCAACCGAACUCCGAAUGCCGGCGGCCCAGAGCGCGGCAGUCAGAGCAUGUGGGCUAAGCUGUGUGCUCGAGAGGGAAACAGCCCGGACCGCCCGCUAAGGUCCCCAAGUUCCAGCCGAGUGGCAAAGGAUGUGCGUCCGCCCAGACAACCAGGAUGUUGGCUUAGAAGCAGCCAUGCAUUCAAAGAGUGCGUAACAGCUCACUGGUCGAGUGGACAUGCGCCGACAAUACACGGGGCUAAGCUGGACACCGAAGCGGCGGGAUUUUGAUUUUCAGAAUCGGUAGGGGAGCUUCCCAUGGGCGGUGAAGCCGCCGGGCGACCGGCGGUGGAGCGCAUGGGAGUGAGAAUGCUGGCAUGAGUAGCGAGAGACGAGAGAGUAACUCGUCCGCCGUGAACCCGAGGUUUCCUGGGCAAGGCUAAUCCUCCCAGGGUCAGUCGGGGGCUAAGGCGAGGCCGGAAGGCGUAGCCGACGCGCAGCAGGCAGACAUUCCUGCACCGCGCACGCGGCGCUACGACCGACGGGGCGACGGAUGGGGGUGGCUCGGCGGGGUUCUGGACGUCCCCGUGAUGGAGCGCGGCCCGCGGACCAGGGAAAUCCGGUCCGCAGAAGGGCGAGGCUCCGGACGAAGCGAUUGAGCGAAGCGAGUGAGCCCGAGGUCCCUAGAAAAACCCCUAGGCAGGCGCGUGCGCGCCCGUACCGCAAACCGACACAGGUGGGUGGGUAGAACAUACCGAGGCGAUCGGGUCAACCAUGGUCAAGGAACUCGGCACAAUGGCCCCGUAACUUCGGGAGAAGGGGUGCCCGCGCGUACGUGAACGGACUUGCUCCGGGAGCGGAGGCGGGCCGCAGUGGAGAGGCCCAAGCGACUGUUUACCAAAAACACAGGACUCUGCAGAAGCCGCAAGGCGACGUAUAGGGUCUGACGCCUGCCCGGUGCCGGAAGGUCACGCGGAGGAGUUAGCCGCAAGGCGAAGCCCCGAAGCCAAGCCCCGGUAAACGGCGGCCGUAACUAUAACGGUCCUAAGGUAGCGAAAUUCCUUGUCGGGUAAGUUCCGACCUGCACGAAAGGCGCAACGACUUGGGCGCUGUCUCGACCAUGGACCCGGUGAAAUUGCACUGGUCGUGAAGAUGCGACUUACCCGCGGAAGGACGGAAAGACCCCGUGAACCUUCACUGCAGCUUGGCAUUGGCCGCUGGUCCCGCGUGUAGAGGAUAGGCAGGAGGCGAAGAUCCGGAGGCGCCAGCCCCCGGGGAGCCGCCCUUGGAAUACUGCCCUCGCGCGACCGGCGUCCUAACCCGAGGCCGUCAACCGGCUCGGGGACCGUGCCAGGCGGGCAGUUUGACUGGGGCGGUCGCCUCCUAAAGGGUAACGGAGGCGCGCGAAGGUCCGCUCGGGACGGUCGGCAACCGUCCUUUUGAAUGCAAGAGUACAAGCGGGCUUGACUGCGAGGCCCACAAGCCGAGCAGGUGCGAAAGCAGGCUCUAGUGAUCCGGCGGCCCCGAGUGGGUGGGCCGUCGCUCAACGGAUAAAAGGUACUCCGGGGAUAACAGGCUGAUCUUGCCCAAGAGUCCACAUCGACGGCAAGGUUUGGCACCUCGAUGUCGGCUCAUCGCAUCCUGGGGCUGGAGCAGGUCCCAAGGGUACGGCUGUUCGCCGUUUAAAGCGGUACGCGAGCUGGGUUCAGAACGUCGUGAGACAGUUCGGUCCCUAUCCUCCGUGGGCGCAGGAGAAUCGAUGGAGGCUGCCCCCAGUACGAGAGGACCGGGGUGGACGCACCUCCGGUGAACCGGUUGUCGACCAACGGCACGGCCGGGUAGCCGCGUGCGGCGCGGAUAACCGCUGAAGGCAUCUAAGCGGGAAGCCGUUCCAGGGAUUAGUUCUCCUUCCGGUAAGGGCCCAGGUAGACUACCUGGUCGAUAGACGGCAGGUGCAAGGCUGGCGACAGCCUCAGCCGAGCCGCACUAAUCGCCCGAGCUCUUCCGGA